GCUGAAAGGCGCUGUUGGCACCCAGAGCACAUUCCGCAGCUCUAACACUGGCUYUCCCCGAGCGAACUGCUUGCUCUGACCCGGCUGCGUCGCACGCAGCCUCACUGUGCCCUCCCCAGCUGCMUGUGCCUUAUUAUGCAGGGCUGCAAUGUCCUUGCUGGUGCUGCGCAUCUCUGCAAAGGCGCUCCUGUGGGGUGUGAUGUGGUGCGUGGCCCCGCUGUCCAACACCCAAUCCAUGCUCAAGACGUCCACCUC
rnacentral:lncRNA from 1 species